AUCGAGGCUAGUCACACUUGGGUAUCAAGCUAUUGCCUUAAUGUGCUAGAGUCCUCCAAGAGUAACUGCUGACUUUACUCACUGGCUGUAGCCCUCAUGGCAUAGUCAGUCACCAGGUUAGUGACAUGU